rnacentral:rRNA from 1 species
GACGUAGGGCGCGAGCGUUGUCCGGAUUUAUUGGGCGUAAAGAGCUCGUAGGCGGCUUGUCGCGUCGGCUGUGAAAACCCGCGGCUCAACUGUGGGCGGGCAGCUGAUACGGGCAGGCUGGAGUUCGGUAGGGGAGACUGGAAUUCCUGGUGUAGCGGUGAAAUGCGCAGAUAUCAGGAGGAACACCGGUGGCGAAGGCGGGUCUCUGGGCCGAUACUGACGCUGAGAAGCGAAAGCGUGGGGAGCGAACAGG